ensembl:lncRNA
GUACCCCUGGAAUAGCAACGUAUCCCCCCACCUGCAGCUGCUCAUUGUGCCCAUGCCUCACAACCACACAGCUUUCCAGAAGCUCCCUGCACAUGGGACCACGUGGGCUUUGUACUCACAGAUGAAAAGGUCUGUCAGAAGACAUUAUUUCCCAAACAAUCAGCAUUUAGCUCCUGAUUUCUUCGUGCCUUGGCUCCAUACAUUAUCAUUUUCCUGCAAGAGAAGGGUUUCACUUCAGAUUGAAACACACUUCACUGCCAUAAAGGGGAUAAGAGUUUGCAGAAACUAUAUCUAAACUCAUUACACUGAACAAUGUAUUCCUGCUUUUUCACAUUUCAGUGGGAAAGCAGGAAUCCCUGUGGUGCUCAGAAGCCUUGAACUCUGCAGUUCCUCCAUGUGCCACCCAGACCACUGCUCCAUAUAUCAGACAAGUCAGGUGAACACAAGUGGCCCUCUGCUCUCACUCUCCAACAGAACAAGAGCCAUCACACCUCUCAGGAGUUUCUUGGAGCCAAGCUAGCUAACGGUACCCAGAACUUGCUCUGUUUUCUGCUGCUAAAUGAAAACUUUUGGAAAAAAAAAAAGUAUGAGAGACACAAACAUCAUUACCGAAAACCAGUUUGGAAAUCAGUUCAGUAUCACACACUGCCAAGAUCUGAAGGCUAAGCAUGGAAAAGCCAAGUGUUCAGCCCUGCUAACAUGGUUUUAGAAGGAUUAAUUAGAAGCAGGAAAGGCAGAAGAUAGCACCGACUCAGCUCAGUCUCUAAACAUCUCUCCAGUCAUAGCAUCUGAACCACACAUUCAAUCACAGGCUAGUCUAAAGAAGAAGCCAGCACACACUCGGUGAAAUACCAAGUGGAAAAUGAGCACAAAAAGUUCUCAAGAACUACAGCAGGACCUUGGCUUUGGUUUGCCUGUCCUGGUCUGUUCCAGCAUCUUCCCUUUGCACUUACAGCUCCUCCAGGCAAAUGAAGGUUGAAGGCAGAGGUCUGCUGAAAGACUGGGCCCUGAGCAUACCAAGGCACCAGUUUUCACUUUUUUUGGAUGCAUUUUGAAAGGGAAAAAAAAAAUCCCAGGUGUUAUCUUUGCCCUGUGAUGUCUGCAGCAGCCACAACAACCCAGCUGUGUGCCCCAGCCUCCAGACACAGCCUUCCUCCUUCUCGUCAUCCUCCUCCUCCCCCCAGAGGCUGCCAGCCCAUUGCUGCUCUUCCUCAGUGCCUGAAGCUGAACAACUGGAUGGAAAAUGAGCCCUCCCCCAGACCAUGGUUACACCAGUGGCACUGCUGUCCCUUUGAUGUGAGCAGAUCCAGAGCCACUCUCCUGCAGUGCCUCCCCUCCAGCCCUCCUGCUCUGCUCUGGAGGAGGCAGCUUCCAAACAGGCAUGUGGGCAUCCCUGUGCCCCAUGCUGUGUGCAGGCUGGUCUGUGUAAUGUGAUAAACCAUCACUUCCUUCCUCCUGUGCAUCACUGCUGUUGCUACCUUGGGUUUGGCAGACCGGUGCUGGCUGUGGAACACACUCAGGUGCUGCCUGGCAUACCUACCCUUCCUUGUGACUGCCGGGGCAGACACACUGCGGCCAGGUUUGCACCGUUUCCAUUGGCACUACUUUGCCUACUGCCAAAAUAAAGGAUCUACUUCAUCAAACCUGCCUUAUAUUUAGCAGACACUACCCCAUCUUAGCUCAGUGUUAAGAUGGACCCAUGCAUUAAGCACUCUGGAGCGCACUGCACAACAAACACCAGCUCUGCUCUAAUAGACCCAAAUGCUGCCCCAGCCUACCCAGACUACCAUGCUCUUUGCUUCCACACCACAUACAGCCUACCAGAGGCAACCUGGACUACCAUCAGGCUGAAAGAAAUAUCAGUUGGUUCUCCUGAGCUUGUGCAUACAUUCUCUUUGAAGCAGAUGUUAAUAUACAAGGUAAAGUCCACACUAUAACAAAACAGCAUCCCCCCUAAAUUUAGAUAUAAGUGCUGCAGUUCAUAAGUUAUGAGAGAGAAAAAUGAAGGGAUUCACUUCCGAGUGAUAAGGAAGGAAUGACAGUAAGCGUUUGACACUGCUUAAAUUAGUUUUAUUUUGGAGCCAUUCAAAAUUCAGACUUUGGAUGAAUUCCUUAUGGAGGCAAGUAAAGAAUUUGCUGGCACAAUGAGGAAUAAUCUCCUACCCCAACAAAUGAAACGGCUUAAUUUGAUUUAAUUUCCCCAAUGGUGCAAUGAAGAACAUUCUUUCCAGAUAAGUGUUUCCACUGGCGAUGCUAGUGCUUGUGCUUUUGCUAUGCUCAACAUCCCCAUGUUGCAGACAUUUUGCAUAGGAUGUUAUGAGAAGAGCCUGGGGGAAUCGAAGGCAUUGCUGUGCUCUUCCCUGUGGUACUUCCCUGACAUGCCCAUCCAUGUGCUGCUGUCCACACCAUGCUCACCUGUGCAGCACCGAACAUUGUAGCUCAUGAAGUCCAGAAAUGGGCCUUGUGUGUUUCCUUCUGGGUAGUCCUGAGCACAGACACACCAGUGCAGUAAUUCACAGCUGAGAGGCAAAGGCAGGAGAAAAGCUGCAGGCGUAGGGUUCGUGAUACAGGAACCAGACAUUGCUAAUAACCAAGCACACCUUACUGCUAAGCACUGACAGCCACACACAGUAAACAUAACGACACGUCCUGUUCCAUCUGCACUGUAAGCCGUGUAGUAUGAAAGCUUCAGCAUCCUUUGAAAAGUCCUCCGGCACAAAGAAAUGACCCAACCUAAGGCUGCUCUGUUCAACAGUGAUGAAGCCAUGAAAACCAGCAUUUUCCUUUCUCCUGUCAUUCUGUAGUCUGUUUUUCACUUCCAACCUUAAA